CCUACGGGAGGCAGUGAGGAAUAUUGGUCAAUGGACGAGAGUCUGAACCAGCCAAGUAGCGUGAAGGAUGACUGCCCUAUGGGUUGUAAACUUCUUUUAUAUGGGAAUAAAACGUUCCACGUGUGGGAUUUUGUAUGUACCAUAUGAAUAAGGAUCGGCUAACUCCGUGCCAGCAGCCGCGGUAAUACGGAGGAUCCGAGCGUUAUUCGGAUUUAUUGGGUUUAAAGGGAGCGUAGGUGGAUUGUUAAGUCAGUUGUGAAAGUUUGCGGCUCAACCGUAAAAUUGCAGUUGAAACUGGCAGUCGUGAGUACAGUAGAGGUGGGCGGAAUUCGUGGUGUAGCGGUGAAAUGCUUAGAUAUCACGAAGAACUCCGAUUGCGAAGGCAGCCUACUAAACUGCCACUGACAUUGAUGCUCGAAAGUGUGGGUAUCAAACAGGAUUAGAUACCCCGGUAGUC
rnacentral:rRNA from 1 species